rnacentral:rRNA from 1 species
UAUCAAUAAGCGGAGGAAAAGAAACCAACAGGGAUUGCCCUAGUAACGGCGAGUGAAGCGGCAACAGCUCAAAUUUGAAAUCUGGCGCAAGCCCGAGUUGUAAUUUGUAGAGGAUGCUUCUGGGCAGCGGCCGGUCUAAGUUCCUUGGAACAGGACGUCACGGAGGGUGAGAAUCCCGUAUGUGACCGGCGCGCACCCUCCACGUAGCUCCUUCGACGAGUCGAGUUGUUUGGGAAUGCAGCUCUAAAUGGGAGGUAAAUUUCUUCUAAAGCUAAAUACCGGCCAGAGACCGAUAGCGCACAAGUAGAGUGAUCGAAAGAUGAAAAGCACUUUGGAAAGAGAGUUAAAAAGCACGUGAAAUUGUUGAAAGGGAAGCGCUUGCAACCAGACUCCGCGGCGGUGUUCCGCCGGUCUUCUGACCGGUCUACUCGCCGCCGCGGGGCCAACAUCGUCUGGGGCCGCCGGACAAGACUGGAGGAAUGUGGCUCCCUCGGGAGUGUUAUAGCCUUCAGUGAUGCGGCGCGUCCCGGGCGAGGUCCGCGCUUCGGCAAGGAUGUUGGCGUAAUGGUUGCCAGCGGCCCGUCUUGAAACACGGACCAAGGAGUCUAACAUCUAUGCGAGUGUUCGGGUGUCAAACCCCUACGCGUAAUGAAAGUGAACGGAGGUGGGAGCUUCGGCGCACCAUCGACCGAUCCUGAUGUCCUCGGAUGGAUUUGAGUAAGAGCAUAGCUGUUGGGACCCGAAAGAUGGUGAACUAUGCCUGAAUAGGGUGAAGCCAGAGGAAACUCUGGUGGAGGCUCGCAGCGGUUCUGACGUGCAAAUCGAUCGUCAAAUUUGGGUAUAGGGGGCGAAAGACUAAUCGAACCAUCUAGUAGCUGGUUCCUGC